UAAAAGUUAGCUCAUAUUUGUUUGGAAUGGGAUCCUUUGCGUACGUUUGCCGCUAGGGGCGCUGUUCCAACUGCAUACAAAAUUGGGUUA
rfam:Bombyx mori DNA, contig: Bm_scaf2_contig1815, strain: p50T/Dazao, build 2, whole genome shotgun sequence.